rnacentral:rRNA from 1 species
CACGUAGGCACCAAGCGUUGUCCGGAUUUAUUGGGCGUAAAGAGCUCGUAGGCGGUUCGGUAAGUCGGGUGUGAAAACUUUGGGCUUAACCCAAAGCGUGCAUCUGAUACUGCUGUGACUAGAGUUCGGUAGGGGAGUGGGGAAUUCCUAGUGUAGCGGUGAAAUGCGCAGAUAUUAGGAGGAACACCGGUGGCGAAGGCGCCACUCUGGGCCGAAACUGACGCUGAGGAGCGAAAGCGUGGGUAGCAAACAGG